AUGACCGCCAUGGAGGCGUCCAUGUGGCGACUUCGCCACCUCGUCGAGGAGCUCGCCAAGAUCAGGGAGGAUUGGUCGCUCAACGACACCUCCGCCGCCACCGGCAGGGGCAAGGGCAAGGCUCUUCGGUCACGGUCGGCGUUGGCCAAGGUGGCCCUCUGCACGACACAGGAGGAAGCCAAGCGGCUCCUUUGCAAGCGCCAAGCGGCGGCCGACCAGGCCUAUCGCCUCCCUGUGCCCUUUCGCCGUGGGGUGGAUCACUCCGAUGACAACGACGACGAUGACAUGGAUGGCGAAUGA
rnacentral:rRNA from 1 species